rnacentral:rRNA from 1 species
GAUGAACGCUGGCGGCGUGCCUAAUACAUGCAAGUCGAGCGAACAGACGAGGAGCUUGCUCUUCUGACGUUAGCGGCGGACGGGUGAGUAACACGUGGAUAACCUACCUAUAAGACUGGGAUAACUUCGGGAAACCGGAGCUAAUACCGGAUAAUAUAUUGAACCGCAUGGUUCAAUAGUGAAAGACGGUUUUGCUGUCACUUAUAGAUGGAUCCGCGCCGCAUUAGCUAGUUGGUAAGGUAACGGCUUACCAAGGCAACGAUGCGUAGCCGACCUGAGAGGGUGAUCGGCCACACUGGAACUGAGACACGGUCCAGACUCCUACGGGAGGCAGCAGUAGGGAAUCUUCCGCAAUGGGCGAAAGCCUGACGGAGCAACGCCGCGUGAGUGAUAAAGGUCUUCGGAUCGUAAAACUCUGUUAUUAGGGAAGAACAAAUGUGUAAGUAACUAUGCACGUCUUGACGGUACCUAAUCAGAAAGCCACGGCUAACUACGUG